rnacentral:misc_RNA from 1 species
AGCAGCCGCGGUAAUUCCAGCUCCAAUAGCGUAUAUUAAAGUUGUUGUGGUUAAAAAGCUCGUAGUUGAACCUUGGGCCUGGCUGGCCGGUCCGCCUCACCGCGUGCACUGGUCCGGCCGGGCCUUUCCCUCUGCGGAACCCCAUGCCCUUCACUGGGUGUGGCGGGGAAACAGGACUUUUACUUUGAAAAAUUAGAGUGCUCAAGGCAGGCCUAUGCUCGAAUACAUUAGCAUGGAAUAAUAGAAUAGGACGUGUGGUUCUAUUUUGUUGGUUUCUAGGACCGCCGUAAUGAUUAAUAGGGACAGUCGGGGGCAUCAGUAUUCAAUUGUCAGAGGUGUAAUUCUUGGAUUUAUUGAAGACUAACUACUGCGAAAGCAUUUGCCGAGGAUGUUUUCAUUAAUCAGGAACGAGAGUUAGGGGAUCGAAGACGAUCAGAUACGCCGUAGUCUUAACCAUAAACUAUGCGACUAGGGAUCGGACGAUGUUACAUUUUUUGACGUCGUUCGGCACCUUACGGGA